GCUGGGCACGGUGGCGUGUGCCUGUAAUCCCAGCUACUCGGGAGGCUGAGGCAAGAGAAUUGCCUGAACCCAGGAGGCAGAGGUUGGAGUGAGCCGAGUUAGCGCCGCUGCACUCCAGCCUGGGUAACAAGAGCGAAACUCCGUCUCACUAUGUCACCCAGGCUGGAGUGCAGCGGCGCUAACUCGGCUCACUGCAACCUCUGCCUCUAGGCUUAAGCAAUUCUCCUGCCUCAG
ensembl:misc_RNA Metazoa_SRP Metazoan signal recognition particle RNA